ensembl:lncRNA
CAGGAAUGUCCCUGAGAUGGCUCAUGGCUGAGUCGCUGAGCGGCCGUGACUCAGCCAGUUUCCGCCCUGGCUGUCUGUCUGUCCGUCAGUCGGUCUGUCUGGGAGUCUGCCUCCUCCGAGGGCACUGGUGGGAGAUUCCAGUCAGCCGUGUUCCCGCUGGGAAGUGGAAAUGCUCAACAUCAGACAUUGGACGAAGAGGAAGGUAGUGCUGAGGAGCCCAAUAGAUUGCUGUCCUGAGAUUCAUAUUCCAGUGGAGAGCAGGGAAAACAGAAGGUACAAACUGCCAGGUGAACAGCAGAACACAGAGCACUCCGAAGACAGCUCUCCAACUCUGCAACCAAAAAUUAAUCUUUUAAGGAUAGUUGCAUGUGUAGAUGCAGCCACCCCAUGGAAACUCAUCUAAAUCCUGAUAUUUCAGGGAGCCAAAUGCUUUCCAAUUUAGACCUCUGCCCAAAGCAAUCUCUGGCAACCACACACUAGAAAAACUCAUAGUCAUGAAUUCACAGAAAUGGGUCACCAAAAUCCACUGGACAGUGGUGGGAAGUCUGAUCUUCCCAGAAAAAGGCGAUGAAACAAAUAGAUGAUCUGGGAAACAUAAUUCACAGAACAGGAGAAAACACCCACAAAUAUAAGAGUCCUUCAUCUUUUUAAAAGAAUACACUGUAUACUCUAACAUAAGAAUAGGAAUCUAUGAAAAAGAGGAAUCAGAGACCAAAAAGUUAACUGUGGUUAGGCUUUGUAGAGAAUACACUGUAUUGGAUAACGUAAGAGUAGGAAUCUAUGAGAAAGAAUAAUGAGAGAACACAAAUUAUUUCUUAAAGAGGAAUAAUGUAUUGUCCUCAGAAUUACUCAUUAAGAUGUUUAGAAAACAAAGCCAAGGAUAUCUCUCCAAAAAAAAACCUAUGUGAGAGAUUGAUAGGAACAAUUAUGGAAUGAUGAGGACUUAAUAUUAAGCUAAUAAAGAGUUCUGGAAAGCAGGAAAACAGAAAAUAUAAAGAAAAGAAUUAAAAAGGCAUAAAUGGACAAUAACUUCUGGCAGCACAGAUUGGGAGAAUCAUAGAAAAAUACUACAGUACUGCAAAAUUUCAGUCCUGCAGAGACAAAGAAGAAUUUCUAAGAGAGAGGAAACUGUUCAACCACAAAAGAAUGAUAAUCAAACUGAUAUUCAGACUUCUUAACCACAGAAUCGGAUCCUGAAAGAGAAGGCUUCAAAGUCGACCACAGCAAGAUAGUUGCUGUCACGCCUUCAAGUUUUCUAAGCUGUAGACAAAGACUGGAAGAGUUAUUUUUCAUCACGAAACAGAGUACAAUAUAACCAACCUUCACAACAUGUAAGAAAAUGAUCAAGUGAGGAGAGAGAGAGCCUGAGAAGAGGGAAAAAGUAGAAGGCAGUCAUAACCUGCACAUCUCAUGGAACAGGCAGUCAAAAGCAAGAGACUAUUGCCUAUGGAGUAAAGACAGACAUGUCGGAAAUAAUUUAUAACUCAAGGAAAGCUAAAGGAGUAGCAAGAAGUAGUAGGUGUCUCCCUCUCAAUGGGAAUGGACACUCAGAGUGAGUUAGCUGCUGUGUGGGGUCUAUUCUUCCCUGUACCCUUCCAUCAACACAAAACAUGACCUCACAGCUGCAAAACAGUACUGGCAGAGACCACUAUAUAUGUUUAAGAGUGGAGGAAAGGAAGAGAGAAGACAAAUAUUGGCCAGAAACUCACUUUUCAUUGUAAGUCUAAUUCUGUUUAAUUUUUGAGUGCUCUUUCAUUUAGAAAAUAUUAUUUUGCAAUAAUUUUAAAUGUAUAGAAAAUUGGCAAAGAUAUUACAGAGAUUUCUCAUAAUCCUCAUCCAGUUUUCCCCAUUGCCAAGUUUUGACAUAACCAUGGUAUAUUUAGCCAAACUAAGAAACUGACCCUAGUCCAUGAUUAUUAACUGAAAUCUAGGCUAUACUUGGAUUUCUCUAGAUUUUUCAUCAAUGCCCUAUUUAUAUUCCAUGGCAAAUCCAGCACACGCCUCUGCAUUAGCUGAGAUAUUUUCCAUUGCUUCCUGGUACAUGGCAGUUUUUGAGUUUCUUUGAAUGACCUUGAUAAUCUUGAGAAACAGUGGUAGGGUCCUGUGUAAUGGCUCCUGAUCUGGAUUUGUCUGUUGGUUUUCCUCACAAUGGAAUGUGGUUGUGGCUUUGGUGCAAUGCCCAUGUCUUCAUACCAUAUCCAAAGUAUACAGUAAUAAGAGUUACUGUUAUUUCUCUCUCUCUCUCUCUCUCUCUCUCUCUCUCUCUCUCUCUCUCUCUCUCUCUCUCCUCUGUUCUUUGGAAGCAAUUCAUUAAGUGACAACCACCAUCAAACAGGGAUGGGGAUGGGAGUUAAGCUCCACCUUCUAUACAAAGGAGUAUUUUACACACAUUGUUUAGAAUUCCAGGAGAAAGAUUUUUUUAUUCAUUUAAUCAUUUUUCAUACCAACAUGGAUCUAGGUAUGGUACACUUAUUCUGUGCAUUAGAUGAGAACCCGGUUCUACUAUUUAUUGUGUUGCUCAAAUGUCUCAUUGUGGAAGUUAGGUUCUCCAGGUCCUUUUGAAGUGUUCCUAUCCUGUGUUUUUUGAUGGCAUCCUUACUUUCUGCAAUCCCAGGAUGCUCCAGGCUUUAUUUUACGGUGGUGUCAUUGUUUCUAGACUCCUUGAUGGCAGAAUGAGCCAUCUGUGUCUGUGAACCAAUCUGUGGACACUGCCUCAGAAUUCUCCAAAGAAACAGACCAAUAAGGGGUACACACGUGUGAAAAGAAAUUCACUUAAGGAACUGGCUCAGGCUGUCGCAAAGGUGGAAGUCCACCUCUGCAGGAUGGAUCAGAAACAGCAGGUAGAAGACCCGAAGGGUGGCUCAGGUCAAAUCUUUCCCUUCUGGUGGGAUUUCUUUGGCUCCGUGAAACCCUCCCAUACCAAUAGGGUGAACCACUGUACCCAGCAUACACUGGCUUAAAUCCACUGAUUUCGGACCCAUCCAAAACUCCCUCCCACACACAUCUACUCACCGUGACCCAGCAAAAGUAACACACGGAAUUAACCAUCCCACAAACAUAUCUGUAACUAUUUCUGUAUUUGUCUCUAUGUGUUUAUAUAUUGAUAAGCAUAUGUUUACUCUACUG